rnacentral:lncRNA from 1 species
AGUAUCAAAGGCAUGAACCACCAUACACUGCCUCCAAACCUGCUUGAACAUGAAGCCUCAGUCCGUCGUCCAAGAAGUGAUUUCGCAUACACAACAAACACGUCAACGCCCCCACCUCAGCACACAGAGGAAAAUGCCAAACAGGUUACUUACGAGGAGUCUUCGUUUGCCUUCGAAAGACCCCAACAGGUCGGCCACUGACUUCUUGGGACUUGGAGCGAGAUGUUUUGCGGUGGGCUUCUGAUUGUCAUCCUGCUCUGUCUUACCCGCCUUUUUCUUCUUAUUCUUGUCUUUCUCCUGUUUGGUCUUUUUCUCAGCUUUCUUCGCUUGCUUUUCACUCUUGAGUAACUUGUCUUGUUUUGCACUCUUCCCUUUUUUCUUCUUCUCCUUCUCAGGUUUCUCGAGCUUUUCAAGCUUUUUCGACUCCUUGGCAUUCUGCGAGGGAACGCUAUCCACCUGCCGCUCCUCCUCCCCCUGAGAGGAGGUGGGCUGGCUGAGGUCAUACUUGUCUUCAUAUUCGUUGCUGAGAAUUCUGUCCUUCUUUUUGGGCAGCUUCCCCUUUACUGGCUUGUGAGGACCUGGCACCGCAUUUGGGUCCUGAUGGCCAUGUUCCCGUUUGUCUGUCCGGUUGUCCCGGAAACGGCUUGUGCCCACAACUCUUGCGCUGACCUCCCAGAGGGUGGGAGGUGGGGUGGCUGUGAAGCUUCCAUAGUUGGUGGCUUUGCUGGGCCUCCUGGUGGCCUGUGGCUUCUCUCUCUGUUGCUCCUUCCGAGGUAGAGGGUAUAGCUGCUCUGAGACGGAGGGGCCCCUGGCAGUGGUCACCUCUGCUGUUGCAGGGGGCCUGUGGGAGACUGAGAAGGGAUGCAACCGGGAUGUCCAGGGCCUCUGGGUAGCUGGAUAGGCAGUGGUGGUUGUAGGUCUUGCGGCUAUUGUCACUACCCGGGAUGUGGCCCGAGUGGCUGUCGUGACUGGAGCAGGAGGAAGGGUGGUGGCCCUUGGAGUUGGGGGAGGCUGAGGAGUGGCUGCCUUGCUGGUGGCCUGCUUUCUCGGAGCCUCUCUGGUGGGGUGGACUUGUGUUCUCCUUGGGUCCUCUUUCCUCUUAUCACCGCCCAGGCCUGUACCUCCUGCUCCUCCACCGCCCUCGUUUCCUUCCUGGACUACAUGGCCCUCUAUGCCCGAGGCCUUACACUUUUGGACAAAACCCUUCUGCCUGAUUUUCUCGAUCCUGCGGAUGGGACCUUGAUCAAUGACCUCAUACAUGGCUUCCAGCCUGACCGGGUAAGGGUAGCGCUCCUCCACCUGCAGAGUCUUUUUUAACAGCACCAUGCUAAACUUGCCCUUCUCCAGUUUCAAGAAGCUCAUCAGCUUUGGGAUGAGAUUGGGGUCCAGAGGCUGCUCCAGGAUCUGCCCUUCAUUGGUGAUCCUCCGUACCUUGCCCCCUUCCUCGCCUGCCUGGUGGAAGAGCACAAUCUGUUGGAUGUGCCUUUCUGCCAGCUCACAAUACACGUCGUCCUUCAGGAGGCUCAUCAUGAGGCGGUAGUAGCCCUCUGAGGCGUGAGGGGCUGAGAUGACCCAUACCCUGUUCUUUCCUGCAAAGCUGGCCAGGAUAUUGGGAGAGCUAGAUCCAGAGGGGAAUCGCAACAUUCUUGUCCGAGCAGAAGACCCCUCAUCUCGGACCAUCUCACGCGCCGAGCUCCUAGCUAUGGGUCUCACCUCAGGUCUGACUGGAACUCCAUUGAUACCUGAGGGGGGUGGUCUCAUGGUCGGGUGAGCUAAUCUCAACACUGGUACACUCUUCCUCCUUUGGAAAGGCUGAGGAUUUGGUUCUUCCUGGGUGGAUUUCUCAACUCCACCAGACCUCCCGGUGUGCCUCAGAUACCGAGCUGACCUACUGCUGAUUGGAGAAACCAAAGGUACUUUCCGUCCAGUGUGGCUGUCGCUAUCCAAGGCAGGAGAAUGAGAUGCUGAGCCACACACCAGCCACAUGGCCAAGAGCGUGGUGAAGUGGGGUCCCAUUUUCCACAUCAUUGUAUUAUCCACUUGGGGACGCAGAGGGGGUAUAAUACAAAAAUGAAAAUAACAUAAAAUGAGAAGGGAGAAAAAGAAAAGAAAAAAAGUCAUUAAUUGCAAGCAGAGCUGGGCAUGAUCUCUUUCUCUAACUUGGCCAAAAAGAAAGGGCAGGAGAUAGUUAAAGAAGAAAAAGGAGGGCAAGCAGAGGAGGGCAAACAGAGAGAGGGCUUCUCUUAAACUGCUGCGAUUGUCAGUGCUUAGCAGAGUCAGUCUUUAAGCAGGAAAUCCAGCUUUGAUUUACAGGCGGCAGGCAUGAGGCACGCCUGCUCUGCCUCAGCUGUGCCCAGAUGCACCAGAGACUGUGUAAACUGAGCAUGCUAAUUAUGAAUUCUAACUGUGAAUGUGCAUUCACACUUCAUGUCUUCAAACAAGCAACAAGGAAACAAACACCAGAGAGCAAGGUUGGCACACUUACACAGUGGUUCAUGGAGAUGCUUGCAGAGGCUUUCCAGAGAAACGUGAAGGUUGGUCCCCAGGACAGUUUCCUAGGUGAGAUCGGUUCCUUCCUGCUCUCUGUCUCCUUGUCUGUCUGCAAAGCAGCCCCAGGGAGCCCAGCCUGGGCCGAUUCCUUUUGCUGGCUGUGUCUUUUACCUUCUGGUCCAGUGGGAGGAGGUGAACGCUGCUGUCCUUGGGACCGUUUGUAUCUCCAUUUGUCUGCAGUUUCUCCUGGGUCUGUGUGUGCCGGUCCUUGGUUGCCACAGGGAUCUUCCUGAAAGUGAAGUCCUAGUGAUUUCUGAAUCUCGCUCUUCCCUUCUGUGGAGUUUUCCCAGAACUUCUUAUCACCCUUCCCCUCCUGCAGUCUGGCCGAGUCCCUUUGUUUCCGAGCGU